GACUAACCUUGCUUCAUUGGAUUUAAGUGAUUGCAAAAAUCUUGCAUGUCUCCCUAGUAUCAUUUGGAGCUUCAAGUCACUUAAAGAUAUCAAUCUAAAAGGCUGCAAAAACCUUAGUAGUCUUCCUGAAAAGUUUGCAAUGGAGUCUCUUGAGAUUCUUAUUCUUUCUGGCUGUUCAAAAAUCAAGAGAAUUCCAGAAUUUAUUGAAAAUAUGGAACCUUGUUUCAUUGCACUUAAGAGAUUGCAAAAAUUUAGUGUGUCUUCCUAGCAUCAUUUGUGACUUCAAAUCGCUUAAAGAUAUAAGAGUGGCUAGAUGCCCGAAACUUGAAAAUCUGCCAGAAAACCUGUGGAAUAUCAAAAGUCUAGAGGUGCUUGAUGUGAGUGGAGUUACUAUAGAAGAGCUGCCUUCCUCUGUUCUUUCAAGAAAUCUUAAAGAACUAUCCUUUAGGGGAUGUAAAGUGCCAAAAUCUAUGGGCUUUUUAUUGCCUUCCUUGUCAGGGUUGCGUUCUUUGGUGAGAUUAGAUCUGAGUGAUUGCAAUCUUCUAACAAUCCCUAGCAAAUUUGGUUGCUUAUCCUCUUUACUAUAUCUUGAUCUAAGUGGAAAUAAUUUUGAUUACCUUCCAAAAAGUAUCAUUCAACUUUCUAAUUUGAGACGUAUUUAUGUGAGGAAUUGUAUGAGGCUUCGUUCGUUACCACAACUUCCGUCGAGCACUUCAUACGUUUUUGCAGAAGGUUGUAUCUCCUUGGAAACAUUGCCAAGUAGAUUAACACUACGCAACUUUGACCAGCCGUGUCUUUAUUUCUUUGAUUGCUUCAAAUUGGCUGACAAUCAAGGUUGGACUGACAUGCUCUUUACAAUGCUAUCAGGAUAUGCUCAGGGAAUCUACAAGGCAUGUAAUACUUCAUUUCUGGCUACCAUUAGUAUUGUUAUUCCUGGAAGUGAAAUCCCAAGAUGGUUUAGCCAUCAGAGUGCAGGGGCUAUAGUGAAUGCACAUGUAACUCAUUCUUGUAAUAAGUGGAUUGGAAUGGCUGUGUGCGCUGUUUUUUCACUCCAUUAUCUUCAUCAAGAAGAUAUAAUGAAGGGUUGUUAUAUAUCCGUCAAUAACCCUGGAAAUUCCAGAUGUUUUGGAUUCUUAAAUCAUAAAUUUGUUCAAACUGAAUCAGAUCACCUUUGGCUGCUCUAUAUUCACCCUGAAUGUUUUUCUGAGAAUGAGAGAGCAGACUUGAGUCAAAUUGAUGAGAAUGGAAUCAUUAAUAUGGAGGUUGAAUUUGAUUGUAAACGUGACCCACGCUUUGAGUGUAAGAAAUGUGGAUUUCGUAUGUUAUACGAGCAAGACAUUGAAGAGAUUAGAGAAAUGAUGGCUCAAUCCAGCAACAGUAGCUGCAUCGUUCCUUAUGAAGGAUUGAGAUCCUAUACAAUACCUAUACCUCGUGAUCAUCCUUACAAGGGUGUAGAUGUAGAUGCUCAACAUGAUUUUGACAAUUCAACAGAAGGUAGCAAAAUUGAGAAAAGCCGUGAUGAAUACAAUGGGGCUGGACCUAGUGGUGAAGGCAGCUCUAAUGAUGUACCACACCCAAGGAGGAUUCAAGUAUAUAGAAAGGAUGUAUGGCUCAUGGUAGCUCUGACUAUGGUAACUCUGAUUGCAAGGAUUCUAAUUAAGGUGGUUCAGGACUACCCCUGAUUUGAUCUCUGUAUCCUUCUCUCUUUGACUUGCUCCACCAACGGUAACAAAGCAUAUCCCUCUCCCCCUCUCUCUCCCUCCCUUUAUGUUCUUCUCUGAUGUUUGAUUUUCUUCAUCUCUUUUUUCAGCUAAUCUUUUUCUUUGCUGAGUAUGUCGGCCUCAGUUGCUCAACAUCUGCCUCACCAGUGGUUUGUCACUCUUUGCUCCCACACCCACAGUCAGCAACUCCUCAACGAGUCGCAAGCAGUGUUCUCUCUGAAAGGUGCAUGGUACAAGGAAGAAAUGCCCCAAGGUUAAAUGGUUAAGAUCAUCUGGUUUCCCAAAGUAAUUCCAAAGCAUGUGUCUAUAGGCUGGCUAAUGGUUUACAACAGAUUGUCAACAAAGAUCGAAUGUUGUAGUGCUGUGCUAAUCUUGAUGCUCAGUUUGUUCUUUGUAAAAAGAGAAUUCAAAGUAGGAUCAAUUAAUUUGUGAUUGUUCUUUCUUGAUGAGGAUAUGGUGAACUAUAAUGAGCUGGUGCCUAAUAAAAAUCCAAAUUUCAGUUGGCUUGAGAUUAUGCUCUAUGAUGAGAAAUCCAUUGUGUCUAGACUGGCAUUGCGGUCUACUAUGUAUCAUAUUUGGUUUGAGGAAUACUAGUAUUCAUCAAGGAAGACUACCUUCUGAAGAUGCUACCUUCUGAAGAGGCUAUGGUCAAAAUGUUUCGGUGGGAAGCAAAUAACAGAGUUGAAUGUAACAGUUAUUGCAAUUCUAUUCUAAACAGGAGAAUAGUAGCAGUCAAUGGUCUUUGUUUCUGUUAACUACAGAUUAGCAAACUUCACUUUGUAAUGUUUAUGGUGUAGUGUAGGUUGUUUUUGUAUUGAUGUUAUUUAUAUAAGGCAAGAUAUUUUGUAAAUAAUGUAAUUUGUAGUUGAAAUUUGUUUCUAGUACUUCUUGCAAA